rnacentral:rRNA from 1 species
CUUUCAACAACGGAUCUCUUGGUUCUGGCAUCGAUGAAGAACGCAGCGAAAUGCGAUAAGUAAUGUGAAUUGCAGAAUUCAGUGAAUCAUCGAAUCUUUGAACGCACAUUGCGCCCCUUGGUAUUCCGAGGGGCAUGCCUGUUCGAGCGUCAUUUCAA